GUGAAUGGCAAGAUCUGCAAUUGCAUACGUAUGCAUUUUUUUUUUCUUAUGGAACAUGAACUAAAAGCAAAUAUGGUUUAAGCCUUCUUGGUAAAAUUGAUUCUAAGCGGUUCCCUCAAUUUGAAUUAAAAGGGCCUUUUGAGGUCCUUGAAAUCUGAAGAAUCAAUACACUCCAAUCUCUCCCUAUGAGGGUUCAACAUCUUCAAUAAUUCAGUUGCUUUCUCUUUGGUUCUCUCCCCACAACCAACCUGUAAGAGCAGCAAGAGCUUUUGAAAAGCACCCACUUGAAGAGCCUCAAGAAGAACACCUCCCUCUUGCCUCUUCUGAGCCUUGCAAAGCUUCCAUAAAAUGGAGACAGAGAACUCAGUCGCCAAAUCUGAAACUCUAUGAAUUUUCUUGACUAGAACUGGGAUAGUUAGAGAAUGGUCAUUCAUCUUUUCUCUCCCUUCAUCACAGCUACAGAUUCCAUCAAGAACGCCUAACCCCUUUUCGCAUACGCUUCUUUCGGUAUCUACAACCAUCUCUACCAGCAAUGAGAUCAAACCCAUAUCUACAAAUUUGGUAAUCGCAUUCACAUUUGUAGGGGUUGAUGUGACCAUCUGAUAAAUGGUCACCAGAGAAGCUUUUGUUGCAGCAGGACAAAUGGGUUCCUUAAUCAGCUUAAACAAUCCCUCUGUAGCUCCUUCAGUUGCUGAUAAAACCUCCAAUUUUUUGGUAUCCGACGAAACAAGCUCUUUAAGCACCAAAACUGC
rnacentral:misc_RNA from 1 species